UUUUGUAUUUGACAAUUCCACAAGUCACCAGAGUAUCUGUUGUGAACUCAGGCUUAGUCAUUUUAAUCUCUAAUUUAUAUACUAGGAGCAUCUCAUCUCCAUGGAUACCAUAACAAACAGAUGAUCUUGGCCGAAGUCACUUUAGAAGAGUUCAAGUUCCAGUGAUGAUAAAUGGAAAAGGAAAACAAAAUAAGACUUCAUUUUAAUCUUCAUUAAACAUUGGUUGUGUAUUUAGUCAUUCAUGUAUUUAUCCAGCUAAUAUUUACGUAACAUUGACUAUGUGCCAAGCACAAUGUGGGAAUAAGGAGGGCCUCUGUCCUUUCACAGUUGACAUUUUGUCAUGAGAAUGACGCUUGUCUGUAAUCUAAUGCUGAAAUAUUAUACUAUAUUCCAGGAAUCAUUCCAAGUUUUCCUGGAGGUGAAAAGUGAGGGAUGGUAUUAAGGAGGCUUGAGGUUUGUUAACUGUUAGCCAAAUUAUUGAAGACUUAGCUUACUGGUUCCCAAACUUUAGUGUACAUUGGAAUCACCUAGAGGGCUUGAUAAAACACAAAUUGCUGCCCUGCAACUCUAGAGUACCUAAUCCAGUAAGUCUUGGGUAGAGCCUGAGAAUUUGCAUUUCUAACAAGUACCUGGGAGAUGGGAACAUACUUUGGGAAUCACUAACACGGAAUGUAUUGCUGCUAUAACAAAUUGGUCCAAAGCUUAUUGUCUUAACACAAUUUUUUAUUAUCUUGCACAAUUUCUGUGGGCCCAGAUCUUCUGGGAGUACUUUAGAUGGGUGGUUCUGGCUUUGGAUCUCUCAGAGGGUUUCAUUCAAGACAUCAGCCAAGGCCGCAGUCAUCUGAAAGCCAGCCUGGGGCUGGAGGAUCCACUUCCUAUGUGGCUCGCUUACCUGACUGUUGGCAGGAAGCCUCAAUUCCUCACUGGCUGUUAGCAGGAGAACUCCAUUUCUUGUUAUCUGUAUCUCUUCAUUGGACUGCUUGAGUGUCCUUAUGUCGUGGUGGCAGGCUUCCCCCCACUAGCAAGUGAUCCAAAAUAGAGAGCAGUGUCUUCGUUGCUCCAGACUUUUAUGACCUAGUUAUAUACCAUCACUUUUACCACAUGUUAUUCAUUAAAAGUGAGUCACUGAGUCCAGCUUACACUUAAUGGAAAGUGAAUUAGAAUCCACCUUUUAGAGGGAGGAGUGUCAAAAAAUCUGUGAUUGUAUUUUUAGAACCCAUGUGAGAAUAUACUCUAUAAUUAGUAUUUGACCACUUGUUAGUUAUUGAUUAUUAAACAUAGCAAUUAAUUAGUGAUUAUUAACUCUUCCAAGAUGAUAUGAUGAUAAAAGAAUAAAGCAGAAAUACUGAAUAGCCAGAGUUAAAUACGUAGAAUUCAUUAUUAUAACUAUUUGUGGUUUUAAAAUAUUUUGAAAAGAAUAGUAAUAUAACAUUAUUGCUGAUACUUUGAAUAUUACUCAUAUUAAAUAUUCCUAUUUUAUAAAAAUAUACUUUGCUUAAAUGUAGAUAUUAGGAUGUGUCUAUUUUGUGUAUGUACGUGUGUAUGUAUAUAUGUAACUAUAUAGCUCUGAAUAUAAGUUUGAUCUUGUAAUGGUUUGAAUCCCAGUUCCAUCACUUGGUAGCUUUGUGAUCUUGAGUAAGUUAUUUAACCUCUCUAGAACUCAGUUUUCUCAUAUGUAAAAUAGAUUUGAUAAUAUAACAUACUUUAUAGAAUUGGUGUGAAUAUUAAAUUAAAUGAUAAAUGUUAAAGAGCUUUGUGCCCAAAUAUUGUUAUUUAAUUUUUAUGAAAACAUGUAUGUAUACAUAAAAAUAGAAUAAUUCAGGAGGGAUUAAAAUGAAAAGUAUAAGGUAAACACAGAAUGUAGCAAACUUAAAUGAAUGUUUGGAGAUUUAGAUCAAGUUUAUCUCUUAGCCAAACAGAUAAUUUUAAAUUGUAUUAAAUAUUGCUAUGCUUAAAGACAAUGAAAAGCUUUACCUAUUUCGUGCAGGUUGUACUCUAGCCUCCUGCCAUACUGCUUACCAUUAUCCCUCUCCAUUCUUCCUCCACUCUAUAGAAAUACUUUCUUUCCCAAAUUUCUUACAUUUUUCAUCCAGAGCAAUUUAAUCCUCCCUUUGUUCUUCUGUUUUCUUCUGACCUAUAAUUUUCCGUCCAGAUGGCUUAUCAGGAUGUUUUCCUAAACAAAUAUAGUUCUUUCUCUCUUUAAGAAGAAUUCUGGUGCCAGCUAUUUAAGAUGAAUGUUUUUGUUUUUGCUUUUGUCUUGUCUUUUUAGGGCCGCACCUGUGGUACAUGGAGGUUCUCAGGCUAGGGGUCGAAUCAGAGCUGUUGCUGCUGGCCUACACCACAGCCACAGCAACACCAGAUCCCAGCCGCCGUGACUGCGACCUACACCACAGCUCAUGGCAACGCUGGAUCCUUAACCUACUGAGCGAGGCCAGGGAUCGAACCCAUAACCUCGUGGUUCCUAAUCGGAUUUGUUUCCAUUGUGCCUCAAGGGGAACUCCCUGUUUAACAUAAAUUUUAAGUCCUGCUGCUUAUAGGAUAAUUCCUAUAAUAUCCAUUAAUAACCCAUGGCUAUUGACCAUGCAUUUUGUGUUCUAACUAUGAAUACACUGAGCCUGUGAUCUACUCAAAUAGGUAGGUGUGAAGUAGUAGGUCUGAUGCACACCAUUGGUAUGACACUGGCAUAUUAAUAAUUCCUGAGGUAUGAUGUAUCAUGAACAUUGUUUUAAAUAAUCCCAAAUAUCACUUUGUAUUCCACAUCACAUAAAUCAAAUAAAAAUUUCAAAAUCUCAGUUUACUAGAAGACAAUUAACCUAAAUUUAAAGUUUUUGAAUGUAGUUUCCUUAGAGGACAAAGGUAAAAGCCAGGGCUAGUGGCUCUUAGAUUCUUUUCCAGGAUUUUGUGCCUUCACCAUCUAAUUUCACAGGUUUGGAAAAAUGAUUAGUGGUCAGGAUGAUGACUGAGGUGCUGUCAAGUCUUGCCAUCAAAAGAGGUUUUAUUAUUUUUUUAUCCUUUACAUAAUGCUUCUUAGUUUCAUCUUAAGAUGUGAAUAAGAAUCACUCCAGACACACAUAACAAAUUAGACCAUAAUUUGGGAAUUAGAGUCUAAUCCCAGAAUGUAACCUGGGAAUCUGCAUUGUAACAAAUUCUCUAGUGCUUCUUCUAUACAAUAAAAUUUGCUCUGUUUAGGAUCCAGUGUUGUCACUGUAGCAGCUCAGAUCACUGCUCUGGCACAGGUUUGAUCCCUGGCCCGGGAACUUAAACAUGAUGUAGGCAGGGCCAAAACAAAACAGGAGAAAAUCUCCUAAUUGUUCUGACUAAUUGAAGAUGUAUUAUAAUAUAGUUUGUUGAUUGAUUUUAAGGAUUUUAUUUGUGCCUUUUUGCCAGUGCAUGAAGCCAUGGAUAUUUAAUGACUGGUUUUGAUCAGCUAAUAUUAGAAGAGUAAAAAGGUAUAGUAGGAGAAAGUCUAGAACCCAGGUCUCCUUAGUUAUAGUCCAGUGCUGUUUGAGUUGGUUUUAUCUUUCUGAGAUUGAUUUUGCCUCUCAUGCUGUUUUUAGUUUUCAUAUAAUUAAAACUUCAUUUGACUAUUUUGAUAUUAUCUUUUUGGACUUUACUAGAAUUGUUUCCUUUUGUGGUAUGGUAGAAACAUUAUUUGUUUUGAAAUCAAACUGAACUGUGAAUUCUAGUUCUGCCAAUUACUAGAUGAAUGAAUGUAAGCAAAUUUAAUAAGUUCUCUAAGCUUCAAUUUCCUCAUCUGUUAAAUAGGGAUAAUAAUUCCUGUAUUAUAAGGUUAUUAUAAGGAUGAAAUAAGUAGAUGCUUACAUUUCUAUUUCCUUUACCUUUUUCUUUUUUCACUUUCUUUCUUUCUUUUUUUUUGAGUUGGGGGUGCACCUGAGGCAUGAGGAAGUUCCAGGGCCAGGGAUUGAACCCAUGCCCCAGCAGUGACCCAGACUGCUGCAGUGACAUCGCGGGAUACUUAAUCUGUUGUGCCACAAUGGAAAUUCUCCUUUACCUUUUUCUGAAAGAACUUUUGGCCACUUCAAGAAGUGCUUAAAUUAAUUUAACUUGACUAAAGAUAUUUAUCAUUUUCAAAUUCACAUUUGUAUUUACAUUUUUCUAAUAGGCAGUUUGAAGAUGAUUAAAGGUAUUUUUUUCUGAUUAAUUGGUUGUCCUUUCUAUUCAUAGUAUGUAAUAUUGAUUAUCUUACUUUGUAAAGGGGAGCAUGUAUCAAAAUUGCAAGGUAAUGAGCACCCUCUUACUCAAACCCUGUCUUUUUUUGUUAAGCAAGUGCUGUGCUACAUGCCAUAGGAGAUGUAAAGAAGAGAAUUAUGAGAUAUGAUCUGUGCUCUCAAGUAUCUUGGAUUCACCAGUGGAGAGACAUCAGAAACAAGUGGAAAAGUAAACAAAAAUAGAAGAUUUAAAUAGUAUUGAAAACUUUAGAAGAACUGCUCCAGGUAGUACCUGAGUAAUUGUCAGAACACUCACGAUUAGCAUGAAUAUGUGCUAAUUCAACUCUCUGAGGAAUGGUCAAUUUUCAUAUGAAAUAAAAGCAUUCAUCUGAAGUGAUACUGGCAACUAGAAUUACAUUUUCCUCUUUUCUAUUUCCAGGGCAACCCAGGGAGGUCAGAAAAAUACUAUCUAUAAUUAUCUAUCAACCUCUAUUAUAAGGUCAUGAGAAAUAAAAGUGGACUUUUCUUCCUAGUGUUGGAAAUUAUUCUUGAGAAUAGCACUGAAGUAUGCAGUAUUUAAUCUUUAUUUUGUAAUGACAAUAAUAGGUGAAGAGAAGAUGGAUUGAAAUUCUCAAGAGGUGGAAUUUUUUUCUCACUUGUGGUAUUAGAGCACACAAUAUAAAAUAAUUACUUAUGCUUUGAUUCUAAAUACCCUUCAAAAAUUACAUGAGGAGUUCCCUGGUGCCAUAAUGGUUAAGGACUUGGUAGUCACUGCUGUGGCUCAGGUUCAAUCCCUU
rnacentral:lncRNA from 1 species